rnacentral:rRNA from 1 species
AGAGUUUGAUCCUGGCUCAGAAUGAACGUUGGCGGCGUGGAUUAGGCAUGCAAGUCGAACGGGCCGGGCCGCAAGGCCCGGUCAGUGGCGCAAGGGUGAGUAAGGCGACGGUAACCAACCCCAUGGUCGGGCAUAGCCGCGGGAAACUGCGGGUAAUUCCCAGCGACGUCCCGGGCGGGCAUCCGCUCAGGACCAAAGCU